UACGUAGGGUGCGAGCGUUAAUCGGAAUUACUGGGCGUAAAGCGUGCGCAGGCGGUUCGUUGUGUCGGCGGUGAAAGCCCCGGGCUUAACCUGGGAAUGGCCGUUGAAACUGGCGAACUGGAGUGUGGCAGAGGGGGGUGGAAUUCCGCGUGUAGCAGUGAAAUGCGUAGAGAUGCGGAGGAACACCGAUGGCGAAGGCAAUCCCCUGGACCUGUACUGACGCUCAUGCACGAAAGCGUGGGGAGCAAACAGG
rnacentral:rRNA from 1 species